CUUUCUUUGCUGGCGACCGGCGCACGGGUGAGGAACACGUAUCCAACCUGCCCUUUACUCGGGGAUAGCCUUUCGAAAGAAAGAUUAAUACCCGAUAGCAUAAUGAUUCCGCAUGGUUUCAUUAUUAAAGGAUUCCGGUAAAGGAUGGGGAUGCGUUCCAUUAGGUUGUUGGUGGGGUAACGGCCCACCAAGCCUUCGAUGGAUAGGGGUUCUGAGAGGAAGGUCCCCCACAUUGGAACUGAGACACGGUCCAA
rnacentral:rRNA from 1 species